rnacentral:lncRNA from 1 species
CAAGGAAUAACCAAAAUGAACAUUUUAUCAGCAUUUGCUUCUGUGAUCAACCCCUCCAAACCCUGCCUUUGUCAAUGUUUGAAAAAGUGUUAAUGACCAAACUGCAAAAAUGUGCAAAGUGCAAUGACCAAAAUGAACAUUUUAUCGUCUAUGUUUAAACAAUUAAACAUACCGUGUCAGGUUGGAUUCAUCCCAAUUUCAUACUGAAACCCACUACCACAAUUUCUUCUAUUUGAUGAUAUUACUCAAUAUUCGUAAUUUAACAGAAGAACUACUUCAUAGAAUUCUAUCAUUUUUUUUCUAGUUCACCAUCUGUUUGAUGAUAUUACUCAAUAUUCAUUGCAAAACUUUAAAACCCCUUUUUCAGAAUCAGUCCUAAUUGGUUGCAUCUCGUCGUGUGGAGCUGUACAAGCGUCUAGUUGCUAAGUUUAGGGAGAUUUUGUUGUCACCCGAUUUGCCCAAGUAUGCUGGAUACAACUUCUGAGACUAUCAGCCAAGAGUGGAAGGAGAUGGUCUCUUUUUAUGGUGGGAUGGGAUUGUAGGUUGGCUGGUUACAGGAGCGUGUUUGUCUUUAUGAUGACUGGUUAGUUAAACGUUCGUCUGUCAAUGCAUUGGAAACUUGUCAAACGGUAUGUCUUGGAAGCCAAACGCAAGGUGGUUAGCAUUUUAGAGAGUGAGCUGCAGGUGCUCUGUGCUGAGUUGGAUAUGGAGUGUGACACUCAGUCUAGGUUUACUUUCUCUCUCUUUGAUUACUAUUUACUUAUUUAGUAGUGAUAGUUAUCGAAAGAAAAAGCCAUUCUAUUACACUUUUUUUGGUUAAUGAAAAUGCAUGAUCUUUUGUUUGUGACCAUCUAUCAGUUGAACUAUUGUAUAUAUGCUUUCAACAAUCUACCAGUUACUACUACAUGUCAUAUUCAUUUCAAAUGCUUGAUUUUAUGCGACGAAGCUGAUUUGCAAUUUCUAAUCUUUUAAGCCUUAAGGUUUGUGUGGGUUUUAGCUUUUAGGUGACUUAGUUGCAA